rnacentral:rRNA from 1 species
GACGAACGCUGGCGGCGUGCCUAAUACAUGCAAGUCGAGCGAAGCGGCGGAUGGGUGAGUAACGCGUGGGUAACCUGCCCUUAAGUCGGGGAUAGCAUUUGGUAACAGAUGCUAAUACCGGAUACUAAAGGAUGGACCUGCGAUGCAUUAGCUAGUUGGUAAGGUAACGGCUUACCAAGGCGAGGAUGCAUAGCCGAGUUGAGAGAAUGAUCAGCCACACUGGGACUGAGACACGGUCCAAACUCCUACGGGAGGCAGCAGUAGGGAAUAUUCCACAAUGGACGAAAGUCUGAUAGAGCAACGCCGCGUGAGUGAAGAAGGUUUUCGGAUUGUAAAGCUCUGUUGUUGGUGAAGCGGUAAUCAACCAGAAAGCCACGGCUAACUACGUGCCAGCAGCCGCGGUAAUAC